AACUUUUGGCAAUGGAUCUCUUGGCUCUCGCAUCGAUGAAGAACGCAGCGAAAUGCGAUAAGUAAUGUGAAUUGCAGAUUUUUAGUGAAUCAUCGAAUCUUUGAACGCACAUUGCGCCCGCCAGUAUUCUGGCGGGCAUGCCUGUUCGAGCGUCAUUUCAGCCCCUCAAGCACUUGCUUGGUGUUGGGGAUCCAGGCGAUGGAGCCUGGGCCCCGAAAUAUAGUGGCGGGCCUGACAGGACCCCGAGCGCAGUAGUCUUACAGCCUCGCUCAGGGCGGACUGCCGGUGCCCACGCCGUAAAACCCCCCAACUGCCCAAAAGGUUGACCUCGGAUCAGGUAGGAACACCUGCUGAACUUAAGCAUAUCAAUAAGCGGAGGCU
rnacentral:misc_RNA from 1 species